CCUGCAGUAGGUAUCAGCAAGUUCUUCUAUACAGAACAAUAUGGAACUCGAGUUACACUUCAUUGCAGAAUAACACCAGAUCCUAACUAUCCUGAUGUAUACGUUUUCUGGAGAAAGAACAUCUCUGGUAUCAUGGUUUCAAUUAAAAAGGGACAAGGAAAGGAGGGCAUGACUAAGGAAAAUCCUUCACUUAUUAUUAAUUAUGCAAAGUUUGAGGAUUCUGGUCAGUAUGUCUGCUAUGGUACAGAUGAAAUUUCGAAUGCUAGCAGUCCAACUAUCAGGCUUACAAUAUUUGGAGAUCCAGUUAUCGAUGUCGACAAAGACAGGUACGAGGUAAACUACGGUCUUUCUGUUACGCUGAGGGUAAGCAUUCAAUCCAAUGUGGAAAACCCUGUUCGGAAAGUAUUCUGGAAGCUUAACAACAACGGGGUUAUUACGACGAUUGACUUUGAAACUAAAAGGAUAUCAGGAAAUAGCAUUGAAAAUCCAUCUCUUACCAUCCAGACUGUAACUACAUCUGAAGCUGGAAAUUUUACAUGUUUUGCUACUCAUGAUAUGGGAAAUGCAACAAGUAAAGCUAUUGGUGUACAGGUAUUUGGAGAUUUACCAACCGUUCCAGUUGAAAUGAAAAAGUAUGAAUCUGUAUAUGGUGAAGAUGUUACAUUGAAUUGUAUUGUAAUUGCGGAUCCUCCUAUCAUUGAUGUUUAUUGGGAAAGAGUCCAAAAUGGCAAUCAUAAACCGAAAUUCAGUUGGCUAUCAGGGUAUAUCACCUACCAAUCCGUCUUUGACUAUCAUUUAUAAUACCAAAACCCACAUCGGAACAUACAGAUGCUUCGCCACAAAUGUGGUUGGAACAACUGUUAGUGGAUCUACAACAUUAAAUGUUAUAGGCGAUAAACCAACUGUUACAACCACAUCAUCGGUUUUGAAUGCAAACUACGGCGAUGCGGUCACGCUUGAAUGCAUUGUUAACGCAUUUCCGCAUCCUACGAAAAUUUACUGGAUAAAAAGAAACAACGACCAUUCUCCAUUAGUAUUAAUAAAUAAGGAAUUUCCUGGAAUAUCCGGAAGUUCUAUGGAGACACCCUCAUUAACGAUAAAGUAUGCUACCCCUGCAAAUAAAGGAUAUUAUAGUUGUUUUGUUGAAAACACAGCUGGAGUCACUGAAAGUAAACCUGUCAACCUUAUAGUGCUGGCAGCUCUCCCAGACGUAAGUGUCCCCCUUCAACCCUCAAAAGUAGGAACAGGUUUUGAAGUUAUACUUAAAUGCAGUAUACAGGCCGUACCACCAGCACUAGAAGUGUAUUGGCAGAGAAAUACAAAUGACUAUCACACAAUUAUAAAAGAAAGCUCAUUAAACAUAGACGGAUCGAUAGUCGGCGAUCCGUCAUUGACAAUUCAAAAGCCGUCAGUAUCGAUGUCUGGAGAAUAUGCGUGUAUUGCGAGAAAUUCUGUAGGCACAGCUAGAAGUCUACUUACGGUUU